UAGAUGUCUUUCCGAUGAGCUGUCUUAAUGAGGUACACUUCAAUAAAUGCAAAUGACCCUUCCUUAUAAGGCCUAUUUGGUUCAAAUAAUGUGAUGUCCAGUGAGCAGGAUUCAGGUAGACUCUGCUGAUAGUACAAGCUCAAGAUUUCAAUUUCAGUGACAUUCAUGGAUUUUGAGGACUCCAUUACCAUGAGUUCUGCGAGGAGGCUGCGUUUUAUGUCAUGGAACUCAAAUGGGCUCAAAUCGAAGAUAGAGGAUGUGAAGAGUGAAAUACAAAAACAAAACUGCGAUGUUGUUUUCAUUCAACAGACACGUUCAAGUACUGGUGAAAUUUUUGAGAAGCUGAAAGAUUAUAAGUCAUUAUAUACCACACAAACAUCAAAGUGUACAGGAGUGGCUAUUUUAAUAAAAAAAGAAAUAUAUGAAGAAACCAGCUGCACAAUAGAGAGAGAUCCUACUGGCUGCUACAUUUUGGUUAAAUGUAUCCUGAAUGGACAACUAUUCACUCUUAUGAGUGUUUAUAAUUGUCAUACUGAUAUAAAACCCUUAUUGACACUCAGAAGUGUACUUGAGAAGCAUGCAGAAGGCAUCUUGCUGAUUGGAGGAGAUUUUAAUGUUGCUCUGAAUCCAUAUCUGGACAGAACAUCUACAAAGAGGAAUAAAACCCACUCACUGCUAAGACCAAUUGUGAAGGAAUUAAUGACAGCUUUCAAUCUUGUUGAUGUGUGGAGAAGAUUUCACCCAACAGACAGAAAAUAUUCUUACCAGCAAAACCAUGUCAAGUCAAGAUUAGACUAUAUUUUUGU